UAGCAGCACGUAAAUAUUGGUGUAUAAAAGUAAAUCAAACCCCAAUAUUAUUGUGCUGCUUAA
rnacentral:pre_miRNA from 1 species